AAGACUAUACUUUCAGAGAUCAUUCCUAUGGUAUGUUACUAGAGAAGUAUCUCUGAUGGUGUAGAGUACUGGAAACCACGAGGAGGAGUUGAGUGUUCUCUCCUGAGCGUGAAGCUGGUUCUAGAUGUUGCAGUACUGCAACUGCCUUUUGCCAUUGAUGAUCAUUCUUAAUUCUCUUUAGAGAUGAAGAGGGACAGAACACAGUCUGAUUGGU
rnacentral:snoRNA from 1 species